GGAAUCUUGCGCAAUGGGCGAAAGCUUGACGCAGCCACGCCGCGUGGAUGAUGAAGGCCUUCGGGUCGUAAAGUCCUUUUCUGAAGGAAGAACAGCCUUCAGAGGAAAUGCUCGAGGGUUGACGGUACUUCAGGAAUCAGCCACGGCUAACUCUGUGCCAGCAGCCGCGGUAAUACAGAGGUGGCAAGCGUUGUUCGGAAUUACUGGGCGUAAAGGGAGCGCAGGCGGCCAGGUCAGUCUGAAGUGCAAGCCCGGGGCUCCACCCCGGAUUUGCUUUGGAUACUGCCUGGCUUGAGUACGUCAGAGGUGAGCGGAAUUCCAGGUGUAGCGGUGAAAUGCGUAGAUAUCUGGAGGAACAUCGGUGGCGAAAGCGGCUCACUGAGACGAAACUGACGCUGAGGCUCGAAAGCGUGGGGAGCGAAC
rnacentral:rRNA from 1 species